rnacentral:lncRNA from 1 species
CUCUAAUCCCAGAAGUUCGGAACGCUGAGGCAGGAGGAUCUCGAGUUCAAAGCCAGCCUCAGCAACUUAGUGAAGCCCCUUACAUGAACACAGGAAAGUUAUAUCUGGUUCAUUCUACUGUCUUUCUUAUCCCCAUUCCCCUACCCUUCCCUUCAUUCCUUGGGUAAUCCAGCAAACUUCUAUUCAUCCCUACUCUCUCCCCUUAUUGUGUGUUAGCAUCUGCAUGUCAAAGAAAAUAUUUGGCCUUUGGUUUUUUGGGAUUGGCUUAUUUCACCUACCAUGGUAGUCUCUAGUUGCAUCCUUUUACCAGCAAAUACUAUCAUUUCAUUCUUCUUUAUGGCUGAGUAAUAUUCCAUUAUGUAUAUAUACCACAUUUUCUUUAUUCAUCUGUUGAAGGGUGCCUAAGUUGGUUCCAUAGCUUAGCUGUUAUGAAUUGAGCUGCUGUGAACAUUGAUGUGGCCACGUCACUAUAGUUCCCAUAUGGAUUUUGUUGUCAUUGAUGAAAUGGGAUUUUUCUUCUGGAUGAAUUUAUUGCCGUACAGCUGAAACUCAUAAGCCCUCUCUGGCAUGAAUUUUCUUUCUUUCUUUUUUUUUGUACUGGGAAUUGAACUCAGGGACACAACCACUGGGCCCAUCCCCAGCCUUUUUUUGUAUUUUAUCUAGAGACAGGGUCUCAUUGAGUUUGCCUAGUGCCCUGCCAUUGCCAAGGCUGGCUUUGAACUCUCAAUCCUCCUGCCUCAGCCCCCGAGUCCCUGGGAUUACAGGCGUGUGCCACUGCACCCAGCUGUGAAUUUUCUUUUGAUCAGUGAUGUUUGAUCUCUGGGCAAAGGCCUUCUCACAUAUCCUACAUUUAUAGGGUUCUCUCUUGUGUGUUCUCUGGUGUUUCACAAGCUCUGGCUUAUAAAUAAAAGCUUUGGCACAGUCCUCACAUCUAUAUGGGUUCUGUCCUGUAUGAAUUUUUUAAUGUGGGAAGAGUGACCCGGAACUAGCUCAGCAUGUUUAUCAUGUAGGGUCUCAUAACCAGGAAGUGAAACUGCAGAAGCUUUGUGAAUUGUUCAGGCUUGUGAGUUAUCAAGAGGCUUCUUUGUGCAGUAAAAUGUUAUAGAGUUAGAACCAUCUUGCGGCUAUCCUGCUGUACCCAGAAAACCCACUCUACUGGAACUUUUGAUAACUGUUGGCCUCAGAGCCGAGGGUCCAGGUUGUUCACAUCCUCGCCUUUCCCAGGCCUGGCUUUUGCCAACACCGCAGGAUCAGCCGAUGACUAGGGCUCGUUUGCUCUCCACAAUUUAACCCUCUCCAUUUCUUCUUCUCUUUGUGCACCACACUAAGGUAAGGUGAUCAGAAACCUGAGGCUCCCUUCUUUGGAGCUGGCAGGAGACUCAGACCACCCAACCUCUGCCCAGAGCUUCCCUGUAGCCUCCAUGAAUCUCUGAGGCCAGGCUUCUUGCUUUGCUCUCUCAAAGACAAUUGCUGCCUGCUUGAGAGACCUGCCCUUCUCUCUUUGAGCCCUCAGUUCAGUGAGUAAAACCUUUGCCUGUCUUCUUGUUUGUUUUUUUUUUUUGUUGUUGUUUUAUGCCACAUUGUCCUCAGUGUCAGCAUCAGAACCAUCCCUCUGGAGAUGAUCAGACCAUAAGCGGGAUGUGCAGACACUGACCACCUCCCCGUCUGUGUUUUCUUGUUCCAUUUGCUGACCUGCUGUUUGCCUGAUGGCCAGCAUGCACUCUGACCUCUGCUUGCUCCGGGUCUGGGGAUCUCCCAGUGUGAC